CAGUAGUAACAUACUCUUUAUUAGCACUUCUGUGCUACUUGUGUCUCACUUAAUCAGUCAUGCACGCAGUCCUGUCCAACUUCUAUCUGUGG